CAGAGUUGCAAGACUCCCUAAACCAUUGUGAAUCCUACCUUCGUACCGGUUGCCUUCGGGCUGGGUCCGGAAGGCCCAUCGGCCCCCCGGAUCCUCGGUCUCCCGCGGGAGGCGCCCGCCGGAGGGAUACCCAAACUCUUGACUAUUAGUGUCCUCUCUGAGUAAUUCUUUACUGAAUAAGUCA
rnacentral:misc_RNA from 1 species